rnacentral:rRNA from 1 species
CUAGUAACGGCGAGUGAAGCGGCAAUAGCUCAAAUUUGAAAUCUGGCUUUCUUUGGAAGCCCGAGUUGUAAUUUGCAGAGGGUGCUUUGGCUUUGGUAGCGGUCUAAGUUCCUUGGAACAGGACAUCACAGAGGGUGAGAAUCCCGUAUGUGAUCGCUCUCCAUCGCCGUGUAAAGCCCCUUCGACGAGUCGAGUUGUUUGGGAAUGCAGCUCUAAAUGGGAGGUAAAUUUCUUCUAAAGCUAAAUACUGGCCAGAGACCGAUAGCGCACAAGUAGAGUGAUCGAAAGAUGAAAAGCACUUUGGAAAGAGAGUCAAAUAGCACGUGAAAUUGUUGAAAGGGAAGCGCUUGCAGCCAGACUUGCCCGUUGUCGCUCAUCCAGGCUUUUGCCUGGAGCACUCGGCGGCGGGCAGGCCAGCAUCAGUUUGGGCGGCCGGAUAAAGACCUCUGUCAAGUAUCUUCCUUCGGGAUGACCUUAUAGGGGAGGUGUAACACGGCCAGUCCGGACUGAGGUCCGCGCAUCUGCUAGGAUGCUGGCGUAAUGGCUGUAAGCGGCCCGUCUUGAAACACGGACCAAGGAGUCUAACAUCUAUGCGAGUGUUUGGGUGUCAAGCCCGGGCGCGCAAUGAAAGUGAACGGAGGUGGGAACCCUCUUCGGGGGUGCACCAUCGACCGAUCCUGAAGUCUUCGGAUGGAUUUGAGUAAGAGCAUAGCUGUUGGGACCCGAAAGAUGGUGAACUAUGCUUGAAUAGGGUGAAGCCAGAGGAAACUCUGGUGGAGGCUCGCAGCGGUUCUGACGUGCAAAUCGAUCGUCAAAUUUGGGCAUAGGGGCGAAAGACUAAUCGA